AAACCAUGAUGGGGACAUUGGUUUGUGUAGCUUCUAAACUUCCUAUGCUUCCCCAAAGCUUUCAUUGUUGUGCUGGGUAAAGCUUGAGAUUUCGUUCCUCAGCUU
rfam:Eutrema salsugineum unplaced genomic scaffold scaffold_1, whole genome shotgun sequence.